rnacentral:rRNA from 1 species
CACGUAGGCACCAAGCGUUGUCCGGAUUUAUUGGGCGUAAAGAGCUCGUAGGCGGUUCGGUAAGUCGGGUGUGAAAACUCUGGGCUCAACCCAGAGCCGGCACCCGAUACUGCUGUGACUUGAGUGCGGUAGGGGAGCGGGGAAUUCCUGGUGUAGCGGUGAAAUGCGCAGAUAUCAGGAGGAACACCAGUGGCGAAGGCGCCGCUCUGGGCCGUGACUGACGCUGAGGAGCGAAAGCGUGGGUAGCAAACAGG